AGCCAGGAGAAGGAAAUUCACAGGGUUAAUCACUCAGUUAAGGUGGGGCAAGAACAAAUCACCAUGGUGGAAUGUCAUCAGUUAAGGCGGGGCAGGGCCUUUUCAGUUCUUUUGUGAUUCUUCAGUUACUUCAGGCCAUCUGGGCGUAUACGUGCAAGUCACAGGGGAUGCGAUGGCUUGGCUUGGGCUCAGAGGCCUGACAUUCCUGCCUUCUUAUAUUAAUAAGAAAAAUAAAACAAAAUUGUGUUGAAGUGUUGGGGCGGUGAAAAUUUUUGGGGGGUGGUAUGGAGAGAGAAUGGGCGAUGUUUCUCAGGGCUGCUUCAAGCGGGAUUAGGGGCGGCGUGGGAACCUAGAGUGGGAGAGAUUAAGCUGAAGGGAGGUCUUGUGGUAAGGGGUGACAUUGAGGGGGUUGUUAGAAGAAACAUUUGUCAUACAGAAAGAUUGGUGAUGGCCUGGAUACGGUUUUGUAUGAACUGAAAAACUAAAUGGAAUAAGAGAAGGAGAAAAACAGGUAUAAAAGGACUAAGAAUUGGGAGGAUCUAGGACAUCUAAUUAGAGAAUGCCUAAGGAGGUUCAGCAUAGUCCUUCCAGCGAAGAUUAUUUAUUUACUUCAAGAGUUAAGAGUGGCAGUUUGGGGAUAGCAUGAGGAGAUAUCAGCCAUGAUGGCUUGGAGAAACAGUGUAAACUGGCAGUGUAAACAAGAGCAGGGCAUGUAUGAGUAGUUGAGAACGGAGAAUAGGAGUAUGACUAGACGGAAAAUAGUAGGGAUGACAAGUUUUUUUGGGGGCACAGUCUAAGUUGGUCUGGUGUCUGGGAUGAGACUGGGGCCUAAUAAAAAGGAGCUUAAAUGGACUGUACCUUGUAGCAUUCUGAGGACAGGUCUGACUUCUGAGAAGGGAAAGUGGUAAAAGUAUUGUCCAGUUCUUUUUAAGUUGGUGGCUGAGCUUGGUGAGGUGUGUUUUUAAAAGACCUUUAGUCCGUUCUACUUUUCUUGAAGACAGAGGACUAUAAGGGAUAUAAACUGAAAAACUGCUUGGCUAAUUUGACUAAUAAAGCCUGGUCUGUUAUCAGACUGUAUAGAGGUGGGAAGGCUAAACUGAGGAAUUAUGUCUGACAGAAGGGAAGAAAUGACUGCGGUGGCCUUCUCAGACCCUGUAGGAAAGGCCUCUACCUAUCUAGUGAAAAUGUCUACUUAGACUAAGAGGUAUUUUAGUUUUUGUGACUCGGGGCAUGUGGAGUAAAGCUAAUUUGCCAGUCCUGGGCGGGGGCAAAUCCUCGAGCUUGAUGUGUAGGGAAGGGAGGGGCCUGAAUGAUCCUUGAGGAGUAGCAGAAUAGCAGAUAGAAUAGCAGAUGGAACACUGAGAAGUUAUUUCCUUGAGGAUAGAUUUCUACAAUGGAAAGGAAAUGAGAGGUUCUAAGAGAUGGGCUAGUGGCUUGUAAUAUGGGGAAAUGGGGUGAAUGUCAGGUGGAUCAGAGAGAUGCAGUCAUGGGGAUCAGGUGUGGUAUCAGGAAUAAUGUGGGAGGCCAGAUUGAAGUCUGGGCCAGGAACAAUGGUAAUUGUGGGACUUAACAAAGAAUGAGUACAGCUGAAGGAGCCGGGGAGCAGAAAGUAUAUGCGUCAGGUAUGAGGAAGAAAAUAGAUUUUGGAAGUUAUGAGAAAUGUAGAGAGUGAGUUGAACAUAGUUUGUGAUUUUUAGGGCCUCUAAAAUUAUUAAAGCAGCGGCAGCUGCUGCAUGCAGACAUGAGGGCUAGGCUAAAACAGUAAGGUCAAGUUGUUUGGACAGAAAGGCUACAGGGUGGGGUCCUGGCUCUUGUGUAAGAAUUCUGACCGCACUAACCAUGCCUAGGAAGGAAAGGAGUUGUUGUUUUGUAAGGGAUUGAGGUUUGGGAGAUUAAUCAGACACCAUCAGCAGGGAGAGCACCUGUGUUUUUGUGAAGAAUUAUGCCGAGGGCUUCUGAGGCGAUCAGGCAGCGUCAGUCUUCAGCCACUAAGCCAAGAAGGAGUCAGUCAGAGAGCCUUGGGCCAGAGUUCCAGGGGCGCUGGGAGUGGCUGCCAGAAGACGAUGAUUCCAGAUGGAAAAAAUGGAAAUGUAAGAGGGAAUUAACAACACUGGAAUUAGUAAACCCAUGGGCUUCAUCCAUGUGCUAGUUCAGCCUGUGAGAUGCUGGUGAGCCCACCUCCAGGCACUCACGGACUCCCCACCCAUUGAGUGUGGCCUGGAUUUAGUGACUCAAUCAAACGUGACAGAGUGCUGGGGUGUCAUUUUCAAGACUGGGUUAUGUGAAGACUGCAGCCUCCAUCUGGGGUGCUCUCUCUUGGAUUGCUUGCUCAGGGAUGUGGGGAGAGCUGCUGUGCUGGGAGGCUGCCCAUGUGAGUUGACUUGGAUGUGAACCUUCUGUGGCCUGCCAAUAGCCACGUGAGUGACCUUGAAAAUGGAUCAGCCUUCACUCAAGUCUCAAGAUGACUGUGGUCUUGGCUGACAGCUUGAUUGCUGUCUCAUGGGGGACCUUAAACCAAAGGCACCCUGCUAAGCCACACACAGCUUCCUGGCCCACAGAAACUAUGAAAUAAUAACCAUUUCUUAUAUAAGCCUCCAAGUUUUGGGAGUAAUAUUUUGCACAGUGAUGGAUCACUAAUACAAGCCAGUCAUCAGUUGAAAGACACUGAAUUUAUUUCCAGUUUUAUGUGAUUAUGAAUAAUGUCACCAUAUGCAUUUGCAUACAGGUGUUUGUGUGGACACUGCUGUCAUUUCUCUUGGGAAGAUACUGAGGAGUCAGAUUGCUGGAUCCCGUGAAGAAUGUGCACCUGGGAUUGGCUCUUGCUUCCUAAGGAACCUCAAAAAAGCUGCAACCUAUUGGAGACUUUUGAUUCAGCAUCAAGGAUAUGCGUGAGACUUUGGUUCUUUUCUGUUGGGACACAGUUGAUUCUGACUGUCUUAAAGUUAGGCUUUUCUAAAGAUUUAGACUAAUAAAUUAUUUGAAUGGGACAACACACAUCAUUUGCUUUAUUAUACUUUAAAUAUGGCAGAACGGUGUAUUACCACCCCAAUCCCAAUCACCGGUACCUCCAUAGGCAGAGAUGUUAUCCUUAUUUUGCUGAAGAAGGAAUUAGGGUUACUCAGAGUCAUGCAGUUGGAAAGAGAUAGAAUGGAACUUUAACCUGUAUGUUCUGAUUAUUAUUCAGUCU
rnacentral:lncRNA from 1 species